UGUGCAAGCAAUCAAGAGACAUAUCACACACAAGAAAGAAUAUCAAGUGGCUCAAAUCUCACACAGGGUAUUUCUGUCACAAUCAAUCACCCUCAAACAUCAUAAUCAUCUUUCCAAGCAAAGAAAAGCAAGGAAUCCAACAAAUCAGAGUAUCAAUGAAGUGAAAGACAAGUCUACAACUAAACCAAAUCCAGAAAUCAAGAGAAACAUGCAAAACUGUACAAAAGACACAACAAAAACUACCUAGAAAACA
rnacentral:lncRNA from 1 species